CUUACUUGAAGUGAAGAUGCAUAGGCUUAGAAUUACACGAUUAGUCGUUGUUGGGAUCCCUCCCUUGGGCUGCAUGCCCUUUUUCAAGACCCUAACGGAAAUAUGUUGUUAGGAUGCUGUGAACAACCCCAAAAAAUAUGGUUUGGCUGAAACUUCCAAAGGAUGUCGUGGAACGGGGACAGUAGAAUAUGGAGAUACAUGCAAAGGCAUGAGCACAUGCGCUGAUGCAUCAAAAUAUGUACUCUGGGAUGCUGUUCAUCCAACAGAAAAAAUGUAUGAAAUAGUCUUUGACCAGGCCAUAGAUUCUCUCCGAGAACAGCUGAUAGGCUAGCUAGCUGGGAUUUUAGAUAGAUCGAGAAAGUAAUUAACUAUGCUUUCACUAAGGUCUGAGUAGUUACAAGAAAAUGUUUGGUUAGACGUUUCAGUUUGUAUCGUUUGGUUAAUCCAUGUACCACGUUUAAAAUUGCAUCCAGAAAGACAUGAUUAUGUGACUUUUUCCUGUCUCUUCUGCAUGCUUAUGACCUCAAGCCAUGAUCGCCAUAUAAAUGUUUUGCCGAUUCAAAUAAUCGGUCUUAGAUCAUGUAUCCCUCAAUGAACAGAA